ACUCCUUGGAUUGUAGAUCAAAUCUUUUUCAUCUCCAGAAUUGAACCUAAACCUCAUGUCUAGUGCUAGCUAGACAUAGUCAACUGUUUAAUCCCAUAUAACCCAUAACUUAAUUCUCAAUCAAGUUAAUCUAUUUAUUCAAUCAAGUCAUGUACUUCUAAAUUGAAUAUAUAGGUUAAUUCUUUCCUACGUCAUUUGACUUUAUGUAUGACUCCAUAGGUUCGAACACU
rnacentral:lncRNA from 1 species